rnacentral:rRNA from 1 species
UGGGGAAUAUUGGACAAUGGGGGCAACCCUGAUCCAGCCAUGCCGCGUGAGUGAAGAAGGCCCUAGGGUUGUAAAGCUCUUUCAGGUGUGAGGAUGAUGACAGUAGCACCAGAAGAAGCCCCGGCUAACUUCGUGCCAGCAGCCGCGGUAAUACGAAGGGGGCUAGCGUUGUUCGGAUUUACUGGGCGUAAAGGGCGUGUAGGCGGACGAUCAAGCUAGGGGUGAAAGCCCAGGGCCCAACCCUGGAACUGCCCUUAGAACUGGUUGUCUAGAAUCCGUAAGGGGAGUGUGGAAUUCCUAGUGUAGAGGUGAAAUUCGUAGAUAUUAGGAAGAACACCAGUGGCGAAGGC